AGUGAACGCUGGCGGUAUGCCUAACACAUGCAAGUCGAACGGCAGCACAGUAAGCUCUCGCCCUUACUGUUGGCGAGUGGCGGAUGGGUGAGGAAUACAUCGGCUUCCUCUUUUUCUUGGGUGACUACGUAGGGCCACAUAUGCUAAUACCGGAUAUGAUCUACGGCAGAAUUCAGAGGAGCUUCGCACCUUUGGCGACUGAAUUAGCCGAUGCCGCAUUAGCUAGUUGGCGUGGUAAAGGCCCACCAAGGCGACGAUACGUAGCUGGUCUGAGAGGAUGAUCAGCCACACUGGAACUGAGACACGGUCCAGACUCCUACGGGAGGCAGCAGUGGGGAAUCUUGGACAAUGGGCGCAAGCCUGAUCCAGCCAUGCCGCGUGGGUGAAGAAGGUCUUCGGGUCGUAAAGCCCUUUUGUUAGGAAAGAAAAGAAGCGGAUUAAUCCCCCGCUAUUCUGACGGUACCCAAAGAAUAAGCACCGGCUAACUUCGUG
rnacentral:rRNA from 1 species